rnacentral:lncRNA from 1 species
GGACAAUGAGUAUAUAGUCUGUUCGUUUGUCUUAUAAGUCGUAUUUUAUCUGUCAGUCAACAGUGCUUUUUCACAAUAAAUCAGCGAACAGUAUUUUUAAUUAUAGCUUUUCAGACCAAUGUAGUGACAAAAACAAAAUAAUUUCAGAAAAAUAAAAAAAAAUCAGCUAAUGGUAAGAGUUGGGAAUUGGCAAUACACGCAAUCCUGCUCAAGUUGAUGUCAAUCGUGGAUUCCCAUGUCCCUCGUCGACGAAACGAAUGUUGGAGUAACAUAUUUUUUUUUAACAUAAAUGCGAGGUUAUUAGAAUCGUUGACCCUAAGUUGGAUGAGAACUCUAGUGACAGAAUCCUAAAUUAUAGGAUCAUAACUACUAUGAUCAUAAUUAUCAAAAUUAUUGAAACAAUCUUAUAAGAGCACUCACGAAUGCAGAAAACCAUCAUAGUUUCUAUAGACAUUAGUUGUAGUGCCACCUAAGCAUUUUGUUGAUGGGGCAAGAUAGUUACUCCCUCCAUCCCAAAUUGUAAGUCAUUCUAAGAAUCUUAGAGAGUCAAAGCACUUUCACGUUUGACCAAAAUUAUAGAGAAAAAU